GGGUUGUGAGGUUAAGCGACUAAGCGUACACGGUGGAUGCCCUGGCAGUCAGAGGCGAUGAAGGACGUGCUAAUCUGCGAUAAGCGCCGGUAAGGUGAUAUGAACCGUUAUAACCGGCGAUUUCCGAAUGGGGAAACCCAGUGUGACUCGUCACACUAUCAUUAACUGAAUCCAUAGGUUAAUGAGGCGAACCGGGGGAACUGAAACAUCUAAGUACCCCGAGGAAAAGAAAUCAACCGAGAUUCCCCCAGUAGCGGCGAGCGAACGGGGAGGAGCCCAGAGCCUGAAUCAGCAUGUGUGUUAGUGGAAGCGUCUGGAAAGGCGCGCGAUACAGGGUGACAGCCCCGUACACAAAAGCGCAUGUGCUGUGAGCUCGAUGAGUAGGGCGGGACACGUGGUAUCCUGUCUGAAUAUGGGGGGACCAUCCUCCAAGGCUAAAUACUCCUGACUGACCGAUAGUGAACCAGUACCGUGAGGGAAAGGCGAAAAGAACCCCGGCGAGGGGAGUGAAAAAGAACCUGAAACCGUGUACGUACAAGCAGUGGGAGCCCCACCACCAAAGCAUUCUAUGGUGUUGAAGGCCCUGCAAAGCAGCAUCGCGGUGGCGGAGCGUCGUUUGCGACGCCCAACACACAAAACAAGCGGUGAGUGCUUUGGGGUGGGGUGACUGCGUACCUUUUGUAUAAUGGGUCAGCGACUUAUAUUCUGUAGCAAGGUUAACCGAAUAGGGGAGCCGGAGGGAAACCGAGUCUUAAUUGGGCGUUAAGUUGCAGGGUAUAGACCCGAAACCCGGUGAUCUAGCCAUGGGCAGGUUGAAGGUUGGGUAACACUAACUGGAGGACCGAACCGACUAAUGUUGAAAAAUUAGCGGAUGACCUGUGGCUGGGGGUGAAAGGCCAAUCAAACCGGGAGAUAGCUGGUUCUCCCCGAAAGCUAUUUAGGUAGCGCCUCGUGAAUUCAUCUCCGGGGGUAGAGCACUGUUUCGGCUAGGGGGCCAUCCCGGCUUACCAACCCGAUGCAAACUGCGAAUACCGGAGAAUGUUAUCACGGGAGACACACGGCGGGUGCUAACGUCCGUCGUGAAGAGGGAAACAACCCAGACCGCCAGCUAAGGUCCCAAAGUCAUGGUUAAGUGGGAAACGAUGUGGGAAGGCCCAGACAGCCAGGAUGUUGGCUUAGAAGCAGCCAUCAUUUAAAGAAAGCGUAAUAGCUCACUGGUCGAGUCGGCCUGCGCGGAAGAUGUAACGGGGCUAAACCAUGCACCGAAGCUGCGGCAGCGACACUGUGUGUUGUUGGGUAGGGGAGCGUUCUGUAAGCCUGUGAAGGUGUGUCGUGAGGCAUGCUGGAGGUAUCAGAAGUGCGAAUGCUGACAUAAGUAACGAUAAAGCGGGUGAAAAGCCCGCUCGCCGGAAGACCAAGGGUUCCUGUCCAACGUUAAUCGGGGCAGGGUGAGUCGACCCCUAAGGCGAGGCCGAAAGGCGUAGUCGAUGGGAAACGGGUUAAUAUUCCCGUACUUGGUGUUACUGCGAAGGGGGGACGGAGAAGGCUAUGUUGGCCGGGCGACGGUUGUCCCGGUUUAAGCGUGUAGGUGUGUGUUCCAGGUAAAUCCGGUUCACUUUAACACUGAGGCGUGACGACGAGGCACUACGGUGCUGAAGCAACAAAUGCCCUGCUUCCAGGAAAAGCCUCUAAGCAUCAGGUAACAUCAAAUCGUACCCCAAACCGACACAGGUGGUCAGGUAGAGAAUACCAAGGCGCUUGAGAGAACUCGGGUGAAGGAACUAGGCAAAAUGGUGCCGUAACUUCGGGAGAAGGCACGCUGACACGUAGGUGAAGUGAUUUACUCAUGGAGCUGAAGUCAGUCGAAGAUACCAGCUGGCUGCAACUGUUUAUUAAAAACACAGCACUGUGCAAACACGAAAGUGGACGUAUACGGUGUGACGCCUGCCCGGUGCCGGAAGGUUAAUUGAUGGGGUCAGCGCAAGCGAAGCUCCUGAUCGAAGCCCCGGUAAACGGCGGCCGUAACUAUAACGGUCCUAAGGUAGCGAAAUUCCUUGUCGGGUAAGUUCCGACCUGCACGAAUGGCGUAAUGAUGGCCAGGCUGUCUCCACCCGAGACUCAGUGAAAUUGAACUCGCUGUGAAGAUGCAGUGUACCCGCGGCAAGACGGAAAGACCCCGUGAACCUUUACUAUAGCUUGACACUGAACAUUGAGCCUUGAUGUGUAGGAUAGGUGGGAGGCUUUGAAGUGUGGACGCCAGUCUGCAUGGAGCCGACCUUGAAAUACCACCCUUUAAUGUUUGAUGUUCUAACGUGGACCCGUAAUCCGGGUUGCGGACAGUGUCUGGUGGGUAGUUUGACUGGGGCGGUCUCCUCCUAAAGAGUAACGGAGGAGCACGAAGGUUGGCUAAUCCUGGUCGGACAUCAGGAGGUUAGUGCAAUGGCAUAAGCCAGCUUGACUGCGAGCGUGACGGCGCGAGCAGGUGCGAAAGCAGGUCAUAGUGAUCCGGUGGUUCUGAAUGGAAGGGCCAUCGCUCAACGGAUAAAAGGUACUCCGGGGAUAACAGGCUGAUACCGCCCAAGAGUUCAUAUCGACGGCGGUGUUUGGCACCUCGAUGUCGGCUCAUCACAUCCUGGGGCUGAAGUAGGUCCCAAGGGUAUGGCUGUUCGCCAUUUAAAGUGGUACGCGAGCUGGGUUUAGAACGUCGUGAGACAGUUCGGUCCCUAUCUGCCGUGGGCGCUGGAGAACUGAGGGGGGCUGCUCCUAGUACGAGAGGACCGGAGUGGACGCAUCACUGGUGUUCGGGUUGUCAUGCCAAUGGCACUGCCCGGUAGCUAAAUGCGGAAGAGAUAAGUGCUGAAAGCAUCUAAGCACGAAACUUGCCCCGAGAUGAGUUCUCCCUGAGACUUUAGGUCUCCUGAAGGAACGUUGAAGACGACGACGUUGAUAGGCCGGGUGUGUAAGCGCAGCGAUGCGUUGAGCUAACCGGUACUAAUGAACCGUGAGGCUUAACCUUACAACGCCGAAGCUGUU
rnacentral:rRNA from 1 species